ACAAACCGGAGUGUGACUAAGAGGAGCACUAUUUCAUGUUUUUCUCAUCCCUAUGGCGCUAGUGCUCAUAAAAGCAAGCGGUAGGAUGAGUUCGUUUGUAUAACUCUUAAUGAGUCCGAGACCCAAGUGGCAGGAGCUUCCUUGCUAGCUUCCUUAUUAGGACUCACCUAUAUGUGCAGUCGUGAGGCCGCGAUUAUGGAAAAUGGGCGAUUUCUUAAAAAGCACAUGAUGGAUAUCUGCGCAUGGCCAUAACAGCGCAACCCGCUUAGAACCCAGAUCGGGCUAUAUUAUGUGUGUUGUUGAUUUAAUCUGAGCCAUGGACCGAGGUUCAAGGUUAAG
rnacentral:lncRNA from 1 species